UGAGGAAUAUUGCACAAUGGGCGCAAGCCUGAUGCAGCGACGCCGCGUGAGGGAUGACGGCCUUCGGGUUGUAAACCUCUUUCGCCAGGGACGAAGCUUUUGGGUGACGGUACCUGGAGAAGAAGCACCGGCCAACUACGUGCCAGCAGCCGCGGUAAUACGUAGGGUGCGAGCGUUGUCCGGAAUUACUGGGCGUAAAGAGCUCGUAGGCGGUUUGUCGCGUCGUCUGUGAAAUUCUGCAGCUUAACUGUAGGCGUGCAGGCGAUACGGGCAGACUUGAGUACUACAGGGGAGACUGGAAUUCCUGGUGUAGCGGUGAAAUGCGCAGAUAUCAGGAGGAACACCGGUGGCGAAGGCGGGUCUCUGGGUAGUAACUGACGCUGAGGAGCGAAAGCGUGGGUAGCGAACA
rnacentral:rRNA from 1 species